rnacentral:rRNA from 1 species
AUCCUACGGGAGGCAGCAGUGGGGAAUAUUGCACAAUGGGCGCAAGCCUGAUGCAGCCAUGCCGCGUGUAUGAAGUAAGGCCUUCGGGUUGUAAAGUACUUUCAGCAGUGAGGAAGGUGGGUAUGUUAAUAGCAUACUCAUUUGACGUUAGCUGCAGAAGAAGCACCGGCUAACUCCGUGCCAGCAGCCGCGGUAAUACGGAGGGUGCGAGCGUUAAUCGGAAUUACUGGGCGUAAAGCGCAUGCAGGUGGUUUGUUAAGUCAGAUGUGAAAGCCCGGGGCUCAACCUCGGAAUUGCAUUUGAAACUGGCAAACUAGAGUACUGUAGAGGGGGUAGAAUUUCAGGUGUAGCGGUGAAAUGCGUAGAGAUCUGAAGGAAUACCGGUGGCGAAGGCGGCCCCCUGGACAGAUACUGACACUCAGAUGCGAAAGCGUGGGGAGCAAACAGGAUUAGAUACCCUGGUAG